rnacentral:misc_RNA from 1 species
GAUGAAGAACGUAGCGAAAUGCGAUACGUAAUGUGAAUUGCAGAAUUCAGUGAAUCAUCGAGUCUUUGAACGCACAUUGCGCCCCCUGGUAUUCCGGGGGGCAUGCCUGUCCGAGCGUCAUUGCUGCCCUCAAGCACGGCUUGUGUGUUGGGCCUCCGUCCUCCUCCCGGGGGACGGGCCCGAAAGGCAGCGGCGGCACCGCGUCCGGUCCUCGAGCGUAUGGGGCUUCGUCACCCGCUCUUGUAGGCCCGGCCGGCGCUUGCCGACACAUCAAUCUUUUUUCCAGGUUGACCUCGGAUCAGGUAGGGAUACCCGCUGAACUUAAGCAUAUCAAUCAGCGGAGGA